UACAGAGGUGGCAAGCGUUGUUCGGAAUUACUGGGCGUAAAGGGCGCGUAGGCGGUUCGUUAAGUCCUGUGUGAAAUCCCCCGGCUCAACUGGGGAACUGCACAGGAAACUAGCGGGCUUGAGUUCGGGAGAGGGAAGCGGAAUUCCGGGUGUAGCGGUGAAAUGCGUAGAUAUCCGGAGGAACACCGGUGGCGAAGGCGGCUUCCUGGACCGACACUGACGCGAGGCGCGAAAGCUAGGGGAGCAAACGGG
rnacentral:rRNA from 1 species